rnacentral:miRNA from 1 species
ACAGCAAAGAGAAUCCUCAGU